rnacentral:rRNA from 1 species
GUGGAUUAGAUACCCGGGUAGUCCACGCCCUAAACGAUGUCUACUAGUUGUCGGGACUUAAUUGUCUUGGUAACGCAGCUAACGCGUGAAGUAGACCGCCUGGGGAGUACGGUCGCAAGAUUAAAACUCAAAGGAAUUGACGGGGACCCGCACAAGCGGUGGAUGAUGUGGAUUAAUUCGAUGCAACGCGAAAAACCUUACCUACCCUUGACAUGGCAGGAAUCCCGAAGAGAUUUGGGAGUGCUCGCAAGAGAACCUGCACACAGGUGCUGCACGGCUGUCGUCAGCU